AUUGGUGAGGGUGGCCUAUUGUGGGGAGAAUGUAGUGGCAGACAAUUUGAAUGGUUUGAAGGGAAUCCUGUCACUGAGCUUUUGCUUAAGGUAAAGGAGCUCUAUGGUCUUGAUGAUGAUGUUGCAUUUAGGAAUGUCACUGUGUCUUCAGAAAAUAGGCCCCAACCUUAACCCUAGGAACAGCAACGCAAAUUGGGGCCAUACCAACAGAGGGAAUACCCUGUUUGUUGAAGGUGUUGCUUCCAUCUAAUUGCACUGGUCUACCUGUAUUGUAUAUUAGAGAUCUUCUUCUUAACCCUCCUCCCUAUGAUAUUGCAUCCAAAAUUCAAGCAACUUGCAAGCUAAUGAGCAACGUGACAUGCUCCAUUCCUGAGUUUACUUGUGUUUCAUCUGCAAAGCUUGUGAAGCUACUUGAACAGAGGGAGGCCAAUCAUUUUGAAUUUUGUAGAAUAAAAAAUUUACUGGAUGACAUAUUGCGCAUGUAUAAAAAUUCUGAGCUCAAUGAAAUCCUGAAAUUGUUGAUGGAUCCGAUAUGGGUGGCAACUGGAUUAAAAAUUGACUUUGAGACAUUGGUUACUGAAUGUGAAUGGGCUUCAGGUAGAAUUGGUGAAAUGAUCUCUCUAGAUGGGGAAAGUGAUCAAAAGAUUAGUUCCUCUUCUGUUAUUCCGAGUGACUUUUUUGAGGAUAUGGAGUCUUCUUGGAAAGGUCGUGUGAAGAGGAUCCAUAUAGAGGAAGAACUUGCACAACUGCAAAGUGCAGCUGAGGCACUAUCUUCAGCAGUUACUGAAGAUUUCCUCCCAAUAAUUACUAGAAUAAAGGCUACCACAGCUCCAUUUGGAGGUCCAAAGGGAAAAAUUUUAUAUGCCCGAGAGCAUGAAGCUGUUUGGUUCAAGGGAAAAAGGUUUGCACCAUCUGUAUGGGCUGGGACUCCUGGGGAGGAACAAAUUAAACAGCUUAAACCUGCUGCUGAUUCAAGAGGUAGAAAGGUUGGAGAGGAAUGGUUUACCACAAUGAAGGUGGAGGAUGCUUUAAUGAGGUAUCAUGAGGCUGGUGCCAAGGCAAAAGUAAAGGUCUUGGAAUUAUUGAGGGGACUUUCUUUUGAAAUGCAAUCUAAAAUCAAUGUCCUUGUCUUUGCCUCUAUGUUGCUCGUUAUUGCAAAGGCAUUAUUUGCUAAUGUGAGUGAAGGGAGAAGAAGGUAAUGGGUUUUUCCCACUCUUGCCAAGUCACAUAGGUCCAAGGAUGUGAAGCCAUUAGAUGAAGCAUAUGGGAUGGAGAUAAUUGGUCUAUCACCAUAUUGGUUUGAUGUAGCAGAAGGCAGUGCUGUACAUAAUACAGUUGCUAUGCAAUCAUUGUUUCUUUUGACAGGACCAAAUGGGGGUGGUAAAUCAAGUUUGCUUCCGUCAAUUUGUGCUGCUGCAUUACUUGGAAUAUGUGGAUUUAUGGUGCCUGCAGAGUCAGCCUUGAUUCCUCAAUAUGAUUCAAUCAUGCUUCAUAUGAAAUCUUAUGAUAGUCCUGCAUAUGGAAAAAGCUCAUUUCAUGUAGAAAGGUCAGAAAUUCGGUCCAUUAUUUCUAAAAGAAGGCUUGUGCUUAGAUAUGAAAUUUGCCGAGGAACAGAAACAGCAAAAGGGACUUGUAUUGCUGGUAGCAUUAUUGAAACUCUUGAUAAAAUUGGUUGUUUGGGUGUUGUAUCCACUCAUUUGCAUGGAAUAUUUACGUUGCCACUCAAUACCAAGAACACUGUUUACAAAGCAAUGGGAACAGUAUCUGUUGAUGGCAAAACAAAACCAACACUGAAGUUGAUAGAUGGGAUAUGUGGAGAAAGCCUAGCAUUUGAAACAGCUAAAAAGGAGGGGAUUUCUGAAUCAAUAAUCCAAAGAGCUGAAAGCCUGUAUCUAUCAGCUUAUGCAAAAGAAGUUGUUUCAGCAAAAAAUGACUCAGAACUAGUGGAAGUUUGUUCUAAUAUGAGUAUUAAUGGUUCUGAUGAAUCUCACCUUCAGUCGAGAAGAAUUAGAGAAGUAGUUGCCCAUAAUUGGAGAGGGUCAACAAACCAAACAGAAUUUCUACAGAAGGAAGUUGAGAGUGCUGUCACAGUAAUAUGUCAGAAGAAGCUGAUUGAGCUCUACAAGAAGAAAAAAAUAUCAGAACUUGCUGAGGUACAGUGUCCUAAUUGGUGCUAGGGAACGGCCACCUCCAUCAACAAUAGGUGCUUCAAGUGUCUAUGUGAUGCUUAGACCUGACAAGAAAUUAUAUGUUGGAGAGGUACUUCUCUUUUGA